rnacentral:rRNA from 1 species
AUUGAACGCUGGUGGCAUGCCUUACACAUGCAAGUCGAACGGUAACGCGGGGCAACCUGGCGACGAGUGGCGAACGGGUGAGUAAUGCAUCGGAACGUGCCCAGUAGUGGGGGAUAGCCCGGCGAAAGCCGGAUUAAUACCGCAUACGACCUAUGGGUGAAAGCGGGGGACCGUAAGGCCUCGCGCUAUUGGAGCGGCCGAUGUCAGAUUAGGUUGUUGGUGGGGUAAAAGCCUACCAAGCCGACGAUCUGUAGCUGGUCUGAGAGGACGACCAGCCACACUGGGACGGAGACACGGCCCAGACUCCUACGGGAGGCAGCAGUGGGGAAUUUUGGACAAUGGGGGCAACCCUGAUCCAGCCAUGCCGCGUGCGGGAAGAAGGCCUUCGGGUUGUAAACCGCUUUUGUCAGGGAAGAAACGCUCUGAGUUAAUACCUCGGGGUAAUGACGGUACCUGAAGAAUAAGCACCGGCUAACUACGUGCCAGCCGCCGCCGUAA